GGCAGUCCCUGGUGAGCAAAUUGGCGGAGGCGAGGUGCUGGGAGCGGCACACCUUGCAGCAAUGGGGUCGGUCUGGAGGUCUCGCCGGGGCAAGGCGUUUUAAUCCAGCCAAAUGGAAAAGGUUUCCAAAUGAUACACCUGAUAGUCCACCAAGAUUAAUAGGAGCCAUUGAGAGGUUUCUGGCCAUGACCUACAAGGAAGAUAGAAUAUAUAUACCAACUUGCUGGGGUAUUCCCUCCCUGUGCUGCUUCACUUUAGGGAACUGGACUUCUAAUGAGGCUUAUGUGCAAAAGUAUGUUUUCAAAUUUGGUGAUCUUCCGUCCCAUCUUAUGCACCAAAAUAAUAUUGAAAAUCCUGGGAGAAUGGCUACAGCUUCUGAAGACUUUGUGGUUUGCUAUCAGUAUCAAUGUUCUCCACAAGAACAAAGGCUCUAAGGAUAAGGUUCCAAGAUCUGUGCCAAUUACGAGCUUCUUGUUGCAAGGAUGAACAUCAUUUGUGGUGUCUUGCAGGCGCUCGGAGCCUUAACUGCUAUGUUUUUAAAGCGGUAAGGCGAGGCGAGGUGAUCCACCACCGCCUUAUCGCCUAGGCAACGCCUAGGCGGGCUAAGGCGAGACCUUAAGCAAGGCGAGCCGCCACCGCCUUGUCGCCUAGGCGACGCCUUGAAAACAGAGCUUAACUGUUAACUCCUUGAGUGCUGGUCAAGACUUUGGACUAGGAUAAGUUUAUCUGUGUCCUGAGUGGUCUAGUGGUCAAGUGUUUAUUUUAUUUUUUAGGAAACAGAAAUUUUUGUAUCUCAGCCACUCACAGCUCGGCUCAGAGUGAGUGUGCUGCUUGUAAGGGGCCGACUUUUUCUCUCUAUUAUUACAAAGAUACGCAGCUCUCCUGCCUAUUCGAGAGAGAAAAAAAUAGAGCCUCAUGGCGUAAUGUAAGAAGAUUGGGCAUCCUGGCUACCAGCCACUGGUCCAGAAAAGAGACUGAUUUAGUUGGAUUGAAAUGAGGUCAUAUGUUUGUAGCAGUGUGUCUAUAUAUGCAAUUGAUCCUGUUGUCUGCCUAGUUCA